rnacentral:rRNA from 1 species
UCCACGCCGUAAACGAUGAAUACUCGUUGUCUGCGAUAUACUGUAGGCGACUGAGCGAAAGCAUUAAGUAUUCCACCUGGGGAGUACGUUCGCAAGAAUGAAACUCAAAGGAAUUGACGGGGGCCCGCACAAGCGGAGGAACAUGUGGUUUAAUUCGAUGAUACGCGAGGAACCUUACCCGGGUUUAAAUGCAGGACGUAAGACCGAGAAAUCGGUCCCCCUUGGGCGGACUG